AGCAGCCGCGGUAAUUCCAGCUCCAAUAGCGUAUAUUAAAGUUGCUGUAGUUAAAAAGCUCGUAGUUGAAUUUCGGGAUCAAUAUGUUGGUCGUGCCUCGGUACGUACUAGCUUAUUGGUUUCUUCCUUCUGACGAACCAUAAUGUCAUUUAUUUGGUGUUAUGGGGAAUCAGGACUGUUACUUUGAAAAAUUAGAGUGUUUAAAGCAGGCUCACGCUUGAAUACAUUAGCAUGGAAUAA
rnacentral:rRNA from 1 species